rnacentral:rRNA from 1 species
UACAGAGGGGGCAAGCGUUGUUCGGAAUUACUGGGCGUAAAGGGCGCGUAGGCGGCCUGCUAAGUCGAACGUGAAAUCCCUGGGCUCAACCCAGGAACUGCGUCCGAUACUGGUUGGCUUGAAUCCGGGAGAGGGAUGUGGAAUUCCAGGUGUAGCGGUGAAAUGCGUAGAUAUCUGGAGGAACACUGGUGGCGAAGGCGACAUCCUGGACCGGUAUUGACGCUGAGGCGCGAAAGCCAGGGGAGCAAACGGG